rnacentral:rRNA from 1 species
CAGUAGCCGCGGUAAUACGUAGGUGGCGAGCGUUGUCCGGAAUUAUUGGGCGUAAAGGGAGCGCAGGCGGUUUCUUAAGUCUGAUGUGAAAGCCCCCGGCUCAACCGGGGAGGGUCAUUGGAAACUGGGAAACUUGAGUGCAGAUGAGGAGAGUGGAAUUCCACGUGUAGCGGUGAAAUGCGUGGAGAUGUGGAGGAACACCAGUGGCGAAGGCGACUCUCUGGUCUGUAACUGACGCUGAGGAGCGAAAGCGUGGGGAGCGAACAGGAUUAGAUACCCGCGUAGUCCCUGUCUCUUAUAC